AUAGAAUAUGGGAAUGAAGUUCUCCCAUGGUGAAAAACCGGAACUGCUUUCAAAAGAGCUGAUGACUUCUGCGGUUUU
rnacentral:ncRNA from 2 species